rnacentral:rRNA from 1 species
AGUAGUCAGAGUUUGAUCAUGGCUCAGAUUGAACGCUGGCGGCAGGCUUAACACAUGCAAGUCGAGCGGUAACAGGAAUAGCUUGCUAUUUGCUGACGAGCGGCGGACGGGUGAGUAACGCGUAGGAAUCUACCUGGUAGUGGGGGACAACCUGUGGAAACGCAGGCUAAUACCGCAUACGACCUAAGGGUGAAAGUAGCCUAAGGGUGAAAGUAGGGGAUCUUCGGACCUUAUGCUAUCAGAUGAGCCUGCGUAAGAUUAGCUAGUUGGUAGGGUAAAGGCCUACCAAGGCGACGAUCUUUAGCUGGUCUGAGAGGAUGAUCAGCCACACUGGGACUGAGACACGGCCCAGACUCCUACGGGAGGCAGCAGUGGGGAAUAUUGCACAAUGGGCGCAAGCCUGAUGCAGCCAUGCCGCGUGUGUGAAGAAGGCUCUAGGGUUGUAAAGCACUUUAAGCGAGGAGGAAAGGAUUGUAGUUAAUAGCUGCGAUCUGUGACGUUACUCGCAGAAUAAGCACCGGCUAACUCCGUGCCAGCAGCCGCGGUAAUACGGAGGGUGCAAGCGUUAAUCGGAAUUACUGGGCGUAAAGCGCGCGUAGGCGGCUAUUUAAGCUAGAUGUGAAAGCCCUGGGCUCAACCUGGGAACUGCAUCCAGAACUGUAUAGCUAGAGUAUGGUAGAGGAGUGUGGAAUUUCAGGUGUAGCGGUGAAAUGCGUAGAGAUCUGAAGGAACUUCAUUGGCGAAGGCGACACUCUGGACCAAUACGGAUUAGAUACCCUGGUAGUCCACGCCGUAAACGAUGUCUACUAGCCGUUGGGUUCCUUGAGGACUUAGUGGCGCAGCUAACGCAUUAAGUAGACCGCCUGGGGAGUACGGCCGCAAGGUUAAAACUCAAAUGAAUUGACGGGGGCCCGCACAAGCGGUGGAGCAUGUGGUUUAAUUCGACAACGCGAAGAACCUUACCAUCCCUUGACAUCUACGAACUUACUAGAGAUAGUUUGGUGCCUUCGGGAACGUAGUGACAGGUGCUGCAUGGCUGUCGUCAGCUCGUGUUGUGAAAUGUUGGGUUAAGUCCCGUAACGAGCGCAACCCUUAUCCUUAUUUGCCAGCACGUAAUGGUGGGAACUCUAGGGAGACUGCCGGUGAUAAACCGGAGGAAGGUGGGGACGACGUCAAGUCAUUAUGGCCCUUACGACCAGGGCUACACACGUGCUACAAUGGACGGUACAGCACGGUUGCCAAGCCGCGAGGUGGAGCUAAUCCCAUAGAACCGUUCGCACUCCGGAUUGGAGUCUGCAACUCGACUCCAUGAAGUCGGAAUCGCUAGUAAUCGUGAAUCAGAAUGUCACGGUGAAUACGUUCCCGGUCCUUGUACACACCGCCCGUCACACCAUGGGAGUGGAUUGCACCAGAAGUAGUUAGUCUAACCUUCGGGAGGACGAUUACCACGGUGUGGUUCAUGACUGGGGUGAAGUCGUAACAAGGUAGCCGUA